AUUGAACGCUGGCGGCAUGCCUUACACAUGCAAGUCGAACGGUAACGCGGGGCAACCUGGCGACGAGUGGCGAACGGGUGAGUAAAGUAUCGGAACGUGCCCAAUAGUGGGGGAUAGCCCGGCGAAAGCCGGAUUAAUACCGCAUGAGACCUGAGGGUGAAAGCGGGGGACGUCGCAAGAGCCUCGCGCUGUUGGAGCGGCCGAUAUCAGAUUAGGUAGUUGGUGGGGUAAAGGCCUACCAAGCCGACGAUCUGUAGCUGGUCUGAGAGGACGACCAGCCACACUGGGACUGAGACACGGCCCAGACUCCUACGGGAGGCAGCAGUGGGGAAUUUUGGACAAUGGGCGCAAGCCUGAUCCAGCCAUGCCGCGUGCGGGAAGAAGGCCUCGG
rnacentral:rRNA from 1 species